rnacentral:lncRNA from 1 species
UUUUUUUUUUUUUUUUUUUUUUUUUUUUUUUUUUUUUUUUUGUUAUUCAAUAAUAAAACAUUAUAGUAACCUAACUAUGUAGUAAUAUAGUAAUAUAGUAAUAUAAUAAUAUAAUAAUAGAAUUAGAUAAUAAUUAGUCAUGUUCGUUUUUAAUAUAUGAUAAUAUAUGAUAACUUGGCUCGUUAUUAAUUUAAAACAGCUAACAACAUGACUCGUUUGUGAAUAAUAUAAAAUAAUUUUGAAAGUUUUGCGUUUGUUUUUUUUUUUUUUUUUUUUUUUUUUUUAAAUAUGAAUUACUGCGUCUGGGAACUUAUAAGCAUUGAAAAGUCUUUUUUAAAAGAAGGUGUAAGAUUAAAAAAAUUAAGGAGUGUUAGCUCGGAAUUUAGUGAUUUGAAUUACUCGAAUAGCUUUGACUUAAAAAACGAAAAAGUAGAUUAUGAUUAUUCUGAAGAACUGCCUGAUAGUACUAUAAAAAAAAAUUUGGAUACUAAGCUAAAGUUUGAACAAAUUAAAGACAAAUUUUUUAUUACUGACAUUUCGAAAUAUGUGAAAGCUUAUGUUAAAAAAAGUGACAGCAAUAUAAGAGAGAUAGGAAUAACAUCAAAGAAAGAUAUGAAAACGGAAGAAGAAAGAUAUUGGAUAAAUAGCUAUAUUUAUAAUUUUAUAAGCCAGUCAUUGAUUACUUAUGACCACUGCAAACAUUAUAUAGUUAUUAACAAAUGUGAAAAUAUAAUUCAAGAACUAAAUGGAACAGGUUAUGGAUACUAUGGAAUUUAUUUUAGUGAUGGGAAAAAAAUUGGUGGACUUGGGAAUUUAUUUAUAAACAUAAAACAAGUAAGACAUAUAAAUACUAACAUUAUGAAGACAUUACAAACAAAACUAAUAUCAGAUAAAUCGGGAUCAAAUAAUGAAGAGUUCUGUAGUUUUGUUAAUUUAUUAUAAGUAUUGCAGUCUGUUAAAUUCAACCUUAGUUCUUUUUUAAAAUAUCUAUUUGUAUAUGAAAUAUUAUUUUGAUAAUAUUUUUUUCAACAAAAAAAUAUAAAUAAAAUAAAUAAAUAAGGUAAAAUGUGAUAAAAA